AGCGGCGCGCUUAACACAUGCAAGUCAAACGGGGCUUUUUCUUCGGGAAAAGUCCAGUGGCAAACGGGUGAGUAAUAUGUGAGAAUUUGCCUUUUGGAAGGGGAUAGUUUUUGGAAACGAAAAGUAAUACCCUAUAAUCUAAAACAAUUGGUUUUGUUUUAGCAAAGAUUUAUCGCCAUUAGAGAAGCUCACACCCGAUUAGGUUGUUGGUGGGGUAAAAGCCUACCAAGCCGAUGAUCGGUAGCUGGUCUGAGAGGAUGAUCAGCCACACUGGGAUUGAGAUACGGCCCAGACUCCUACGGGAGGCAGCAGUGGGGAAUAUUGGACAAUGGGGGAAACCCUGAUCCAGCGAUGCCGCGUGAAUGAUGAAGGUCUUUUUAGAUUGUAAAAUUCUUUUAAUUGUGAAGAUAAUGACGGUAGCAAUAGAAAAAGCUCCGGCAAACUUCGUGCCAGCAGCCGCGGUAAU
rnacentral:rRNA from 1 species